UGGGGACCUUGGUGGCAGCGGGGAUUCGGAACAGGGCCCACAUGGUGCCUGCUGCCUUCCUCUCUCCUGCAUCGGCCUCCUCCCCCUCAUACAAGGGAAACUGAGGCAGCGACAUGCCUGGCUGCAGAACAAGGCUACUGUCCCAGAGAGGGAAGGAAGCUGCCUGUUGGGUGAAGCCCUCCUGGGGUCCCACUUCCAUGGGUCACUUUGGAGGCUCACUUCUUCCCUCUCCUUUGCGAAAGACACCCAGCCAGGUCCUGAGUCGCCUCCUUCAGAGCAUCUCGCUGUGCACACUACCUGCCCGAGUCACUUGGGAGCCGCCGCAGAUGUCAGAUCCACUGUUUGGAGCUUGAAGUGUUUGUACUUCAGUGACCCUUAUGCUACUUAAUAAUGGUCCGAGGCCCAAGAGCAGUGGCACUGGCAGUUUGAACAGGCCAGAGAAGAACCUGAAGAGCUUCUUUCAGUACCAAGAUGGUGGGCGGGGUGGCGAGUGCCUGUCAUCCCAGCACUAGGAG
rnacentral:lncRNA from 1 species